UACGUAGGUGGCAAGCGUUGUCCGGAAUUAUUGGGCGUAAAGCGCGCGCAGGCGGUCUCUUAAGUCUGAUGUGAAAGCCCACGGCUCAACCGUGGAGGGCCAUUGGAAACUGGGGGACUUGAGUGCAGAAGAGGAGAGUGGAAUUCCACGUGUAGCGGUGAAAUGCGUAGAUAUGUGGAGGAACACCAGUGGCGAAGGCGGCUCUCUGGUCUGUAACUGACGCUGAGGCGCGAAAGCGUGGGGAGCGAACAGGAUUAGAUACCCCAGUA
rnacentral:rRNA from 1 species